rnacentral:piRNA from 2 species
GAGAAUCAGAGCACCUGGUGUUUGGGGACC